rnacentral:rRNA from 1 species
AUGAAGGUCAGGCUGAAGACCUUACCCGAUUUAGCUGAGAGGUGGUGCAUGGCCGUCGUCAGUUCGUACUGUGAAGCAUCCUGUUAAGUCAGGCAACGAGCGAGACCCACGUCCACAGUUGCCAGCAUACCCUCCGGGGUGAUGGGUACACUGUGGAGACCGCCGCUGCUAAAGCGGAGGAAGGAGUGGGCAACGGUAGGUCAGUAUGCCCCGAAUCUCCCGGGCUACACGCGGGCUACAAUGGUUGGUACAAUGGGCAUCUACCCCGAAAGGGGAAGGAAAUCUCUUAAAGCCAAUCGUAGUUCGGAUUGAGGGCUGCAACUCGCCCUCAUGAAGCUGGAAUCCGUAGUAAUCGCGCAUCAGCAUGGCGCGGUGAAUACGUUCCCGGGCCUU